rnacentral:rRNA from 1 species
AACGCGAAGAACCUUACCAAGGCUUGACAUACACCGGAAAGCAUUAGAGAUAGUGCCCCCCUUGUGGUCGGUGUACAGGUGGUGCAUGGCUGUCGUCAGCUCGUGUCGUGAGAUGUUGGGUUAAGUCCCGCAACGAGCGCAACCCUUGUUCUGUGUUGCCAGCAUGCCCUUCGGGGUGAUGGGGACUCACAGGAGACUGCCGGGGUCAACUCGGAGGAAGGUGGGGACGACGUCAAGUCAUCAUGCCCCUUAUGUCUUGGGCUGCACACGUGCUACAAUGGCAGGUACAAAGAGCUGCGAUACCGUGAGGUUGAGCGAAUCUCAAAAAGCCUGUCUCAGUUCGGAUUGGGGUCUGCAACUCGACCCCAUGAAGUCGGAGUUGCUAGUAAUCGCAGAUCAGCAUUGCUGCGGUGAAUACGUUCCCGGGCCUUGUACACACCG